GGGGAAUAUUGGACAAUGGGCGAAAGCCUGAUCCAGCAAUGCCGCGUGGGUGAUGAAGGCCUUCGGGUCGUAAAGCCCUGUCGAGGGGAACGAAACAGUCUCGACCUAACACGUCGAGCCCCUGACGGUACCCCUAAAGGAAGCACCGGCUAACUCCGUGCCAGCAGCCGCGGUAAUACGGAGGGUGCGAGCGUUGUUCGGAAUCACUGGGCGUAAAGGGCGUGUAGGCGGUCCGCUAAGUCUGAUGUGAAAGCCCGGGGCUCACCCCCGGAAGGGCAUUGGAAACUGGCGGACUCGAGUCUCGGAGAGGAAGGUGGAAUUCCUGGUGUAGCGGUGAAAUGCGUAGAUAUCAGGAGGAAUACCGGUGGCGAAGGCGGCCUUCUGGACGAUGACUGACGCUGAGACGCGAAAGCGUGGGGAGCAAA
rnacentral:rRNA from 1 species